rnacentral:rRNA from 1 species
CCCUUAGAUGUUCUGGGCCGCACGCGCGCUACACUGAUGCAUUCAACGAGUCUAAAACCUGCUCUGAUAGGGGUGGGUAAUCUUUUGAAUGUGCAUCGUGAUUGGGAUAGAUGAUUGCAAUUUUUCAUCUUCAACGAGGAAUGCCUAGUAAACGCAAGUCAUCAGCUUGCAUUGAUUACGUCCCUGCCCUUUGUACACACCGCCCGUCGCUCCUACCGAUUGAAUGAUCCGAUGAAUAUCAUGGGUUGAGGAUGCAAGUAGGUUCGCCUAUCUUCAUCUUCGAGAAGUGAAGUAAAUCUUAUCAUUUAGAGGAAGGAGAAGUCGUAACA